UACGUAGGGUGCAAGCGUUAAUCGGAAUUACUGGGCGUAAAGCGUGCGCAGGCGGUUUUGCAAGACAGGGUUGAAAUCCCCGGGCUUAACCUGGGAACUGCAUUUGUGACUGCACAGCUGGAGUGCGGCAGAGGGGGGUGGAAUUCCCAGUGUAGCGGUGAAAUGCGUAGAUAUUGGGAGGAACACCGGUGGCGAAGGCGGCUUCCUGGACCGACACUGACGCUGAGGCGCGAAAGCUAGGGGAGCAAACGGG
rnacentral:rRNA from 1 species